GGGACUGGAUUUCCCGAGAGCAGAUCAACUGAUUGAAGUGUUUUUGCCUGCAGACACCGGGGAGAGCUGUUGCUGCCUCAACACAAAGACACAGUGGGAUACAGUUGCCCCGCAGCAGCUCCUGAGGGCAAGUUGCAGAGGAGUUUUGAGGCCUCAACUGUGAAGCACUGAAGGGACCAAGAAUGUUUUUUCGGAUCCCUCGCCUGACCCCUGGAUAUAUCAGAUAUCUGCAGACCCAGGCAGCCCAGACGGUGCUGCAGAGCCGGGAGAGCACUGCCACGCCAUGCUUGGCCUUCCUGAUGGGUCUGAUGGGUGUGGGUUUGUCCGGUUACAGCUCUUGCCAGCUCACACUCCACUGCAAGCCAUCCACUCACCUCUUCAGAUGAAAGAGAUGGAGGAGACACCACAUUUUUUUUAUAACGUUUGAAAGUAUUUUCCUUUUGACAGUUGCUUUCUGGAUUUUGACAAAACCAGACAAAAUCUUUAGAGAUACUGAUGACAGAAGUAUUCUACCAUUUGGCAGCUUUUAUUCCAAUAUUCAGUCUUUGAGUCUUUUUAUGAAAUUAAACAUGAUUAUUUCCCAAAAUAUCCACAACUGAAAACUUAUGUGUUUUCACAACAACUCAUCGUAUGUUUAUGUUGCUGUUUGCAGUUUCCCAUUAUCUGAUUCAGGUUCAACAUUCACCAAAGUUCUAACAAUUUAGUAUUAUUAUUUUGUUGUGUUUGGACUGACAAGCGUGUUGCCUUACAGUUUUGCUUAAAUGAGUCCCAGUAAGAAGUACCUUCAUUUCUUCUGCACAGCAGAGUAUUUUUUGUUGAAUGUUAAAGAUGCACAGACAAAAGGAAAGGCAGCUAAUGAGGUUUCUUUGGAACUCGGUUCAUGUUGAACUUGGAUCACUGUCCUCAGUUCUCCCACUUUCCCGUGCCUUAUCAUGGGAUUAUUCAGUUAGAAGUUGUAAUUUUGCACAAAAAGAGGAAAAUGUUAGUGCUUACUGCAGUGUGUGAUAAAUAUGUGAUGAAGCAAAGACAUCCUGUCAGACUCAUGACAAGAUCUCAGAAAAGAAAAACAAAAUCUAUUCAGGUCAAAAUUUUAGAAAGUUAACAAAUGUGUACUCUUACACUGUGAACGUUAUUUGUAAAUAUAGCCAUACAUGUGUUUCUUGGACUCUAAAUAAGAGUAGUAGUGCAGGACAUUGAGUCCUUCCUGCUUAUUUUGUGAGGUAGACCGGGAGACAUCCAGCUGGGCUCAUUUGUUGUUGCAGAGCAGAGAAACCAGGACAGCCAACAGGUGAAUCCACGUGGAUCUCUCUCAGUUGCACUCCAAUGAUUACAAUCUGAAUGUAGAUGAAUGACCAUUGGAGGUCUCUUAACAAAAAAUGUACCUGUUUGUGGCUGUGUGCUUCUUGUGCUUGAUGCAUUUUUAAUGGAGAAAAUUAACUUUGACAGCACAAUGAAUGUAAAUAGGAGCAGUUAGACUAUAAUUGUAAGAAUGAUCAUAUUGAAAACUCUUUGCAAAAACAAUGAGAAGGUUAUGACAAUAGCAUGACUGUAAAAGGAACCGUAGCAUAUUAACAGUUUAUGAUAUAAGUAAGAUGAUCUCUAAAGAUCUUUAGAUAAAAACAGAUAAGACCAGCUUACAACUGAGACAUGAGAAAAAAAAGUGUAAAGAAGUAGUAUAUUUUAUAGGUACACUGUGUGCGUUUAAAAAAAAGAAGUUGUAUUUGAUGAUGCGGUCACGUAUUUGAUGCAGCAUUGUGGUAUGAAGGUAUACAAUGCCUUCGCUACGUAUAUUAAAAACAAAACUUUUGCACUAAGAGAUUUAAAUGACAGUGUUUAUGUUCCCUACUGCCAAUAUAAGACUUAUUGCAAGUUUACUGAAAUAUGUGCAGUAAAUAAAGUAUAUUUUAAAAAAUUGUAAUUUUUCAGAAUGGCCUGUCGGUUUGCCCUCAUGGACCCGAUGCACAACAAAGCACCUUAAUAAACAUUGUGCACAAUUGUUUAUGUUUCAAUAAAUCAUUAAAAACCA